rnacentral:rRNA from 1 species
CGCGUAGGCGGCCUGGUAAGUCAGAUGUGAAAGCCCGGGGCUUAACCCCGGAAGUGCAUUUGAUACUGUCAGGCUUGAGUAUGGGAGAGGGAAGUGGAAUUCCUGGUGUAGAGGUGAAAUUCGUAGAUAUCAGGAGGAACACGGGUGGCGAAGGCGACUUCCUGGACCAAUACUGACGCUGAGGCGCGAAGGCGUGGGGAGCAAACAGGAUUAGAUACCCUGGUAGUCC